AUAAUCUGCCCAUGUCAUUAUUCAAUAAUUUCUACUAUGACAGGUUCUUCAUUGGUUUAGUGCUACAAAGCAAGGUCUGUCUCCUGGAGAGUUAUCUGAAGGACACGUCUUCAACUAUCCCAUGUGGACAAAUUUUAUCCGGCAUUUACACUCCCUGAGAGCAGAAGCUACUAAAAGUGGCUGGAAACUCAGAGGCGGGACUUGAAACAUCAGGAAUGAAGCGCAGCAAAAAUGAGCAAGUCUCUAGUAACAGCCUCAGGACACAUCCAAUGAAGAGAGCAGAAAUCGGCAAGGAGGGUCCAGAGCUUGGCACAAGCGCUGACAGCUCACCCAGUUAGAAGGAAGCUGGAGAUCAGCACUCAGCUCUGGCCCCGAGGAGGAUGGGAUAUUG